AGGACACUUUGGAUGAGAUGAAAAAGGAACCUGUGGCCUCUAUGAAUUUUACGUCAAUUUAUGAUCUUGAUUUAUGAAGUUCUAAUGGCCAAUAAAGAUAAACUACGCCAGCGCAUCUUUUGUACUCGCAACUAUCUCGGGAUCUUUGAAAGAGUGCGAUAAUUCAUAAUCCGAUGCAUCCAAUCGUGUAUUGAAUCAAGUGGGCGAUAAUUCGUACAUUUGUUUAUAAUUAAAAUUUGAA